rnacentral:rRNA from 1 species
UACGAAGGGGGCUAGCGUUGCUCGGAAUGACUGGGCGUAAAGGGCGCGUAGGCGGCGCAGUUUAGUCAGGCGUGAAAUUCCUGGGCUCAACCUGGGGACUGCGCUUGAUACGGCUGUGCUUGAGGAUGGAAGAGGCUCGCGGAAUUCCCAGUGUAGAGGUGAAAUUCGUAGAUAUUCGCAAGAACACCAGUGGCGAAGGCGGCCAACUGGUCCGGUACUGACGCUGAGGUGCGAAAGCGUGGGGGAG